GAAGAUAAUAUUUUAAUGUCCUAUAAAAUAUCUUCACAGCCAUUUUUCUCCGAAACUGUAAGAACUAUACUGUUGAAAAUUGGAUCUGGAAUUUUGUGUGACAGAAAACUCGAAAGACGACAAGCUGUAUCAUCUUGCUCAGUAAACACUGACGAUAAGUUUUAUUGUUCAAAUGGACUGUGUAUCGAAUCGUCGUGGGUUUGUGAUGGUCGUAAGGAUUGUUCAGAUGGUUCAGACGAGACUACAGAGUUGUGUGCUCUUUACGAAUAUGGAACCACGGGUUGCGGUAGAGUUGAAUUUUUCGACUUUAGUGGAAAAGCAGUUUUUGGAAAAGCACAUUGGAAUGUUGGAAUAUAUCGAUUUGAAAAUUUAAAUUAUCAAUAUUUAUGUCACGGAUCAAUUAUUGCUCCAAAUGUAGUCAUAUCUAGGGCUGAAUGUUUUUUUUAUCCCAAUAUGUUAAAUACGAAAAUAUCAGUACCAUAUGGAAAACUCAAAGUUGCUGUAGGAAAAUAUAAUUUGAAUUUUUCAAAAAUUGACAAUGAAUAUACUCAAAUAUUGAAUGUGGAAACAAUAUACAUAAAGGAAAGUUAUAAUGGAAAAGAAGGGUCAUAUGCUGAAGAUAUAGCUGUUAUUGUGUUAGAAAACAAAGGUUUGAUUACCAGUGAUGUUUCACCAAUAUGUAUCGAUUGGAAUGGAAAAUAUAUGGUACACAAUGGAGAUAUAGGAAGGAUUUUCGUUUUUGAAGAAGUGGUAAAUGGGAUAGAAAAUUCUGUUUUAUUAGAAAGAUUUGUUCAAUUCAUCGACACCAGCAAUUGUCAAAAAAAUUUUUCAACCAAAUAUAAACACUUACUGACUUUUGAUAAGUUUUGUACAACUUUUUAUUCAAGAAAAGAAGCAGGUUUCCUAGAUAGUGGAGCAGGCAUAGGUUUUGUACACUCUAAUUCUUAUUUUUUAACCGGGAUGAUGAUUAUGAGGCAUGCAAGAUUAAACGGUACAAUCGCAGGUUUUGUGGACAUUAGAUUCUAUGUUCAAUGGAUUCGUGGAAUUUUAAACAAACAUUUCACAGAUAAUUCAUGCGUUUUACCAACUGUCGUAGGAGUUAUAUAUUCCUAUGAGGGUUCUAAUGAAAUUUUAUCUCAUGGGAAAUUAAUUAAUCUUCAUCGUACUGUUAUUGAAAAGUGUGAACAAGGAUAUUAUAAGGCUCAUCCCAUAGGUUUUAGAUUUUGUCAGGGAAAAGGAAAAUGGUUAUCGAAUACUGAGAAAUUGUGUUUCAAAAUGUGUCCACCUCUAAUAUCAGAUAGUUUAGAUAUUAAAUGUAGUCAUAAUAGUAAGUAUGCUAAUUGUUCAAACUUAUCGAUACCUGAUACAAUAGCAACAGCAUCAUGUAAGCCAUUCUAUACUGCACUAAUCUCACAAGAAGAUACUCAGCUUGAAUUAAAUUGUCAGGCUAAUGGGUUGUGGAAUAAACAACUGAAUAGAUGCAAUCCAAUUUGUGGUAGAGUAUAUAUCAUAAACCAAGUGUUGAUCAACAAUGGUAAAAAAGCACUUGUUGGUACGGCACCUUGGAAUGUUGGAAUAUAUCAAUUAAAUAAAAAAAAAACAAAUUAUAACUUGAUAUGUGGAGGAUCAAUUAUUGCACCAAAUUUGGUCAUUUCUGCGGCUCAUUGUUUUUGGAAAAAAGCUAUGUUAUCUAAGAAAAUAUCAAUAACGGAUGGUCUAUACAAAAUUGCUGUUGGAAAAUAUGAUAGAAAUUUUACAAUAAUCGACAAUGAAUUUACUCAAAUAAUAAAUGUGGAAACGAUUCACCUGAAAGAAGGUUAUUAUGGACCUACUGGGUUUCAUGCUGAAGAUAUAGCUAUUAUUGUAUUAGAAAACCUAGUUUCUUUUAGUAAUGGCGUUUCACCUGUUUGUAUCGAUUGGAAUGGUGAAUACAAUGUGGCCAAUGGAGACCAAGGAAAGAUUGUUGGUUGGGGAAAAACAGAAAAAGGAAUUUCAAGUCCUAUUUUAUUAGAAGCAUCUUUACCAUACAUCGACCAUAGUACUUGCCGGGAUAUGUAUACAAAUGGAUUUGAAUUAUUUAUGACUGUUGAUAAGUUUUGUGCCGGUUCUACAUUGGGAAAUGGAGCAGAUUUCGCAGAUAGUGGAGCAGGCAUAAGCUUUCUACACUCUAAUUCUUAUUUUUUAACCGGGAUGCUGAAUAUGAGGAUUGCAGAUUCAAACAGUGCAAUCGCAGGUUUUUUGGACAUUAGAUUCUAUAUUCAAUGGAUUCGUGGAAUUUUAAACAAACAUUUUACAGAGAAUUCAUGCGUUUUACCAACUGUCGAAGGAGUUAUAUAUUCUUAUGAAGGUUCUAAUGAGAUUUUAUCUCAUGGGACAUUAAUUAAACGUCAUCGUACUGUUAUUGAGAAGUGUGAACAUGGAUAUCAUAAGGCUUAUCCCAUAGGUUUUAGAUUUUGUCGAGGAAAAGGAAAAUGGUUAUCGAAUACUGAGAAAUUGUGUUUCAAAAUGUGUCCAUCUCUAAUAUCAGAUAGUUUAGAUAUUAAAUGUAGUCACAAUGGUAAGUAUACUAAUUGUUCAAAUUUAUCGAUACCUGAUACAAUAGCAAAAACAUCAUGUAAGCCAUUCUAUACUGCACCAAUUUCACAAGAAGAUACUCCGCUUGAAUUAAAUUGUCAGGCUAAUGGAACGUGGAAUAAGCAACUGUAUAGAUGUAAUCCAAAUUGCGGUAGAGUAUAUAUCAUAAGCCAAGUGUUGAUCAACAAUGGUAAAAAAGCACUUGUUGGUACGGCAUCUUGGAAUGUUGGAAUAUAUCAAUUAAAUAAAAAAAAAACCAAUUAUGACUUGAUAUGUGGAGGAUCAAUUAUAGCACCAAAUUUGGUCAUUUCUGCGGCUCAUUGUUUUUGGAAAAAAGCUUUGUUAUCUAAGAAAAUAUCAGUAACGGAUGGUCUAUACAAAAUCGCUGUUGGAAAAUAUGAUAGAAAUUUUACGAUAAUUGACAAUGAAUUUACUCAAAUAAUAAAUGUGGAAACAAUUCACCUGAAAGAAGGUUAUUAUGGAGCUAAUGGGUUUUAUGCUGAAGAUAUAUCAAUUAUUGUGUUACAAGACCGAGUUUCUUUUAGUAAUGGUGUUUCACCUGUUUGUGUCGAUUGGAAUGGUAAAUACAAUGUGGUCAAUGGAGACAAAGGAAAGAUUGUUGGUUGGGGAAAAACAGAAAAAGGAAUUUCAAGUCCUAUUUUAUUAGAAGCAUCUUUACCAUACAUCGACCAUAGUACUUGCCGGAAUAUGUAUACAAAUGGAUUUGAAUUAUUUAUGACCGUUGAUAAGUUUUGUGCCGGUUCUACAUUGGAUUGCGGUAGAGUAUAUAUCAUAAACCAAGUGUUGAUCAACAAUGGUAAAAAAGCACUUGUUGGUACGGCACCUUGGAAUGUUGGAAUAUAUCAAUUAAAUAAAAAAAAAACCAAUUAUGACUUGAUUUGUGGAGGAUCAAUUAUUGCACCAAAUUUGGUCAUUUCUGCGGCUCAUUGUUUUUGGAAAAAAGCUAUGUUAUCUAAGAAAAUAUCAAUAACGGAUGGUCUAUAUAAAAUCGCUGUUGGAAAAUAUGAUAGAAAUUUUACGAUAAUUGACAAUGAAUUUACUCAAAUAAUAAAUGUGGAAACGAUUCACCUGAAAGAAGGUUAUUAUGGAGCUGAUGGGUUUCAUGCUGAAGAUAUAUCAAUUAUUGUGUUACAAGAACGAGUUUCUUUUAGUAAUGGUGUCUCACCUGUUUGUAUCGAUUGGAAUGAUUGUUGGUUGGGGAAUAACAGAAAAAGGAAUUUCAAGUCCUAUUUUAUUAGAAGCAUCUUUACCAUACAUCGACCAUAGUACAUGCCGGAAUAUGUAUACAAAUGGAUUUGAAUUAUUUAUGACUGUUGAUAAGUUUUGUGCCGGUUCUACAUUGGUUUCAGAACAAGGAGUGAGUAAGGGAGAUAGCGGUGCAGGAUUAUGCUUUUUCCAUUCUGAUUCUUAUUAUUUAACUGGAGUAGUAAGUAUCAAGGAUCCAAAUACAACUAAUUCGAUCGCAGUUUUUACAGAAGUUA
rnacentral:misc_RNA from 1 species